rnacentral:lncRNA from 1 species
UUGAGCAUAAUGUGACAAGCAAGAAAAUAUUAAAUUGAUUCAAAGAGUCAUUUGAGGCGUUUUGUCGAGCACAUUACGAGCAGCCUUUAUGUCUCUUCAUUGACAACAACCUACGGCCUAUACGUCUCUCUAAAUUAACCGAACGACAUAAAUUAUCACCAAACAGAAGUAAAACACAAACAAAAAAUUAAUCAUGAGAAUUAAGUGUUAAAAUUAAAAUAUAGUAUUCGAUGAAUCAUACAUAAAAAUCACACACUCUAAAUUCACAGUCUUCAUGCACGUUAAAAAAAAAAAAUUAAAGUUCGUAUGUCACAAAAUUCAUCAGUUGUGCAAUAUAAUUUGGGUUAAAAAUUUACCUAUUUUCUAGCCUAAUGCUCCGGGAUUCUAAAGCUUCCCUUGUUGCAGAUUCCUGCGUGUUGUAGAAAUAAAAGAGGAAAGUUCAGGUUUGAAGAUUGAAGAAGCUUCAGAUUUGAAGAUUGAGAAAGCUUCAGAUUUGGAGAUUGAAGAACCUUCAGAUUGAGGAAGCUUAACGAAAGAGGAACCGAGGAAUGGAAGCUUAUCGUAUAUAAGCUUCGGAUUCUGCUAGGUGCGUAACAGAGAGAAAGGAAGAAGCUUGAUGAAGGUUCACAUUUUUUGGUUCGAGCUUCGACAGCUUCUACGCGUAUACAUAUUUAAAGGUGUUAAUUGUUUGAACAGUGUGG